rnacentral:ncRNA from 1 species
GGUGCAUUAAAGGUAUCCAACAACUCUGUUCUUGCUUUGCGAGGAUUGGGCUACACAUGCUAAGAAUGCCGUUGUAGAUGCGCUCUAUUAACGAAAAUCUUUUUGCUAUGCCAUUGCUUCACGGCUUUGGUGUGGUACCGGGGUCGUAGUUGAUAGGGUGUGUCGCAAACUAUCGGUCAUUAGUAUAUUGUUGGUAUGGUAUUUGGGAACGUCCCGUCUUGAAACACGGACCAAGGAGUCUAGCAUAUCUGCAAGCCGUAGCAAUUUUAAUUGUGAAGGCGUAAUGAAAGUGUAUUGUGUUAACAGCACAAACCGGGCCUUUCGGUCUGAGUUAGAGUAAAUAUGCUAGUACCCGAAAGGUGAUGAACUAUGCCCGGACUGGUUGAAGCCAGGAGAAAUCCUGGUGGAGGACCUCCCGCGGUGCUGACGUGCAAAUCGCUCGUCCGAGCUGGGUAUAGGAGCGAAAGACUCAUCGAAUCGCCUAGUAGCUGGUUCCUGCCGAAAUUUCCCUCAGGAUAGCGGAGAUUCAUAAUUAAUUUUGCCAGGUAAAGCUAAUGAUUAGAGAUCUUGGAGGUGGAUAACCUUCAAUCUAUUCUCAAACUUUAAAUGGGCAAUAUCCGGGGCUUACUUAAUGGAAGUACCGGUUUAAUAAGAAUCUCUAGUGGGCCGUGGUUUGGUAAGCAGAUCAGGUAAAGCGGGUUCAACCGUAAACAAUAAGGAAAGGCGUCCAAUACCGGUUUAAUACUCAUUAAAGGGUGUUAAUUCAUGAAGACAGCGGGACGGUGGCCAUGGAAGUCGGUAUCCGCUAAGGAGUGUGUAACAACUCACCCGNCGAAUGAAUUAGCCCCGAAAAUGGAUGACGGCUAAGCCGGUAGCCGAUCCUUAGUCCCUCUUCUAGAUUUCUUGAAGAGGGGGUAGGCAGGCGUGAUGGUUGCAACGAAGCUCUUGGGUGACUGGGAGUGGAGCGGCCAUCAGUGCAGAUCUUGGUAGUAGUAGCAACCAUUCUUA